CUCUUAUCAAGAGAGGUGGAGGGAAAGGGCCCGUUGAAACCCGGCAACCGAUGUAUUAAUUUAAGUACAUAAUGGUGCCAAUUCCUGCAGAAUUAUUCUGCAAGAUAAGAG
rnacentral:ncRNA from 2 species